rnacentral:lncRNA from 1 species
CAAGUCUGUAUCCUGCAAGGUGGACCUGAUUUUCAUGGCUUUCUCUCUUUCUCUAACUCUACCUUUCCAGGACUCUGUCCUUCCAGAAAGGAGGAAAUGACCAAGUUCCAGAUUUGUUGGAUUUAUUGUGAGAUAUUUCUCUGCAUACUUGAUGUGAGCAUCAUUAAGGUACGUAAGAUGGGUUAUUCAUCUUUUAUGCUCUGAUUGCUUUGUUCCCUUUACCAAAAUAUCUACAUGUUUAAUUGGUACAAUAAAUUGUUAAAUU